rnacentral:rRNA from 1 species
GACGAACGCUGGCGGCGUGCUUAACACAUGCAAGUCGAACGGAAAGGCCCUGCUUUUGUGGGGUGCUCGAGUGGCGAACGGGUGAGUAACACGUGAGUAACCUGCCCUUGACUUUGGGAUAACUUCAGGAAACUGGGGCUAAUACCGGAUAGGAGCUCCUGCUGCAUGGUGGGGGUUGGAAAGUUUCGGCGGUUGGGGAUGGACUCGCGGCUUAUCAGCUUGUUGGUGGGGUAGUGGCUUACCAAGGCUUUGACGGGUAGCCGGCCUGAGAGGGUGACCGGCCACAUUGGGACUGAGAGACGCCCCAGACUGCUACGGGAGGCAGCAGUGGGGAAUAUGGCACAAUGGGCGGAAGCCAGAUGCAGCAACGCCGCGUGCGGGAUGACGGCCUUCGGGUGGUAAACCGCUUUCGCCUGUGACGAAGCGGGAGUGACGGUAAUGGGUAAAGAAGCACCGGCUAACUACGUG